AGUGAACGCUGGCGGUAGGCCUAACACAUGCAAGUCGAACGGCAGCACAGUAAGAGCUUGCUCUUACGGGUGGCGAGUGGCGGACGGGUGAGGAAUACAUCGGAAUCUACUUUUUCGUGGGGGAUAACGUAGGGAAACUUACGCUAAUACCGCAUACGACCUACGGGUGAAAGUAGGGGAUCUUCGGACCUUGCGCGAUUGAAUGAGCCGAUGUCGGAUUAGCUAGUUGGCGGGGUAAAGGCCCACCAAGGCGACGAUCCGUAGCUGGUCUGAGAGGAUGAUCAGCCACACUGGAACUGAGACACGGUCCAGACUCCUACGGGAGGCAGCAGUGGGGAAUAUUAGACAAUGGGCGCAAGCCUGAUCCAGCCAUACCGCGUGGGUGAAGAAGGCCUUCGGGUUGUAAAGCCCUUUUGUUGGGAAAGAAAAGCAGCAGGUUAAUACCCCGCUGUUCUGACGGUACCCAAAGAAUAAGCACCGGCUAACUUCGUG
rnacentral:rRNA from 1 species